rnacentral:lncRNA from 1 species
GAUUGUUCUCGACCGGUUACAGUGAUUCGAUUACAUCGAAAAGUUACAAUCACUUUAUUGACAUUUGAUAUCCCGGGAUAGAGAUGGGGUUGGAUCCAAUAACUAUUAGGUGAGGAUCCCAAUGAUGGCUUUGUGCCCGCUGGUGAAUGAUGGAUCUGAUUUAACUAAGAAAUGUGUCAAUAACUAUUAGGUGAGGUCACAGGACUUAGAGACCAAGCCGCUGCAUCUUGCUUAGUAAAGUAAUAGACAAGGUGUUGUCCACUAUUGAUUUAUGCUCAUUAAUAAUUGUUAGGUG